rnacentral:rRNA from 1 species
UACGUAGGUGACAAGCGUUGUCCGGAUUUACUGGGCGUAAAGAGCGCGCAGGCGGUCGAUCAAGUCGAGUGUGAAAGCCCCCGGCUCAACUGGGGAGGGUCAUUCGAUACUGAUCGACUCGAAGGCAGGAGAGGGUAGUGGAAUUCCCGGUGUAGUGGUGAAAUGCGUAGAUAUCGGGAGGAACACCAGUGGCGAAGGCGGUCUGCUGGGCAGUAGCUGACACUGAUGCGCGACAGCGUGGGGAGCAAACAGG